UUGAAAGGAGUAGUAUGUCCGAAACCUCAGUACUCAUAAAAGAGUAGGCGAGAAGUUCCCGGAUGAUCUCCUGCUUUCGCCCCGAUUUUUGAGUGUUCAUCCUAUGGAUACUCUUCUAUCCCAGGAGGCCACGGGAGAGCAUACGUCAUUAUCAACAUCGGAGAUCAGCAGGGGUUUUCAAAUGGACAGAAGAACACGCGUGUGUUUAUCUGCUGCUGGAGAGAGGCUCAUGAUGCUGAAUGCUGUCAUGAAAGGCUCUGAGAUCUGAAAUGUCUGCAGACUGGUGUGAGCACUGAGGAUGAGGAGCCUAGAGCUGCAUCCUGGAAGUGGUGCCAUGGAUGAGUCCCUCCAUCUGUCCACCUGCCCUUACAAGACCCUCUAUCUCUCCACCUGCCCUUAUUGCCUCAGAUUGUGAAGCGCAGCGCAGCAACAAGCUCUGGGACGAAGGCACGGUCACCUCUGGUGAAUUCAUCAGAAUAAAGCCGCAGAAUGGGAACCGCUGUGUUGAGACGGCAUUAGGAUGUGGUGUUCAGCCCUGUAAAUACAUGUUUGUAGUUUGAAUAAAGCUUUGUUUCAUGUGUUGUUGACUUGUA